AACGCCGCGUGAGUGAUGAAGGCCUUCGGGUCGUAAAGCUCUGUCGGAGGGAACGAAUGCUUUUGAGGUUAAUAGCCUCAGGAGGUGACGGUACCCUCAAAGGAAGCACCGGCUAACUCUGUGCCAGCAACGGCGGUGACUGAGCGGGCUGGCAAGGCGCAUA
rnacentral:rRNA from 1 species